UCGUGGUUAAAGCAGCACCUAGGAAUAACAGAAACGGGCUUGCCUUAAUGCAUGCUGUGGUAAUUUACAGCCACGUAUCUGGAUGGUUUUGAGUGGCACGUUUCUAUAGGUGAUAGGAAUGAAAUAAUCCAUGCAAACAGUUACCUACUCAGGAAUCAAAACAAGGUAAUUGGUUAGUAGGUAUGAUGAAGAACAUUUUGCCUGUAUUAUGAUUGAAGUGUCUGCUACGUGUUGAACUCAUUGAACUUCCCCUGUGUUUUCAUCCAUGAGAAUCUGAAAUGUUUUCAGUUUGCAAUAAAGUAACUACUUCAGAAGGUAAGCCCUUUCUGCAGCAUCUCUCUAGGUGAUGAUUAAACACCAGCACAGUUUGCCAGAUAAUAACUGCCUUAUUUUUCUUCCAAUUGUUGAUGUUAUUGUAGCAGUUGCUAACAGCGGACCUGUUAGGCCAUAGCAUAUCAGCCCAGAUGUCUUACUGCAAACCAGCUGCUCUUUUUGACUCAGUGGAAGAACAGGAUGUAUCAGUGAGCUCUUUGUAUUCAGUCACUCCAUUUCCGCCUAAAAGCAUCGUAUUACUGUAGGCACGUGAUGUUUAGGUGGUGUUCAGCUUGCCUGAGGAACUUGUCUGCAAUAGAGCUCACAGCACUUUUUCCCACUUGCAAUUACUACUUUUUUUUUUCCCCAUGCUUAUUAAAUGAUUACCAAUCUUCAUUUAAACAUCCUGCAGUGCUGAACAGUUGACCAUCACAAUGCCUGUGAAGUAGCUCAGUGCAUCCAUUCUAGGUAGGAAUAAGUCUUCCAAAAAAAAACAAUCAAAAAUCUGCACUCGGAGCGUUGGUAGCAGGACUAACAGGAAUGACCCAGCAACAGGGCUGCUUUUGCCACAGCUUUGUGCCAGUCUUCAUGUGGUUACAAAAAAUGGUAGUCUACAAAAAUAUGGCUUAAUUUUUUACAAUAGCUUUUAAGCCUUUGAAGAAUAGAACAUGUUUCUGGAUUUUUAGAUGUUGUCUUGUAAAAGCAAUACAGAAAGCAGUUGUCUCCAUGUGCACGUUUAUAAGUGAUAGGGAUACAUCUAAGAGGCAGUAACUAUUAUGUGAAUAAUUUACUUGUUAGCAGAUCGCAUUCUGAAUGUAAGCAGUCCACAGGACAGCUUAUAACUUUAAGAAAUACUUGGUGAGAGCGUUUGAUGCUACGCGUUAAUUAGCACUGUUCCUGAUCAAAUGCAGAAGCAGAGUAAACAUGCUCACUUCUACCUUGUUCUUAGUGCCAUGUGGCUGCUAAAACCCAGCCACAAAUAAUGAGCCGUGCUCUGAGAGGAGCCUUCUUGUUACCAUGGGACUUUACAGAAGUGAAAAUCGGACCUACAAGGCAAGACUGGCAAACUGCAAAUGCUCCAUCCUUAUCUUCAGAUAUGUAAGUGACCAAGAACAGGGCCUUCUUUUCCUAUGUGUUCCAGCCAUCAAAGUAGCAGCCUCGAGAAUAAUAGCAUUUUAUACCCAAAGGCCUGAAAUACGUUGGCAAAGGCUCUAGAGGUGUAAGGUCUGACCACAAAAGCUUCAGAUACUGGCUUUCUGUAUGUUCUGCUCUAGUGGUAAACAUCAGGUGUUUUCCUUCUGAUUUACAGUAGUACCUGUCUGCUAAGUGGGAACUUGAGCUGCAGUGUGUGGUGGGGAGGUGCAUCACUGUAAUGACUGAAUGUUUGUGCUUUUAAAACUUCUCCAAGAAGUCUUUAGUUCUUCAGCUCUUGGCCAAGCAGUAACAGCUAGGAAACUAUGUUGUACUGUGAGGCCAGUGUUGGCAAGCUAUGAUAAUGAAUAUCAGGACUUCAGAGACUGUUCUGGAAUCUCUGUGGUGCUCUUGUGGAUACCUGGUCAUGUCUGCUUCCUUUGCAGCUCUGAAGUAACAGGUUUCAGCUCUGGGUAGUAGAAGAGUACCUUUGAGGCAUAACCAAACUGUUAUCUCUACAACAGCAUUGCAAGAGUUACUUUCACACGCAGUGCAUUCCUGGCUGAAAAAAAACUUACAGAGCAACUGCAGUGCUACAAAUGGAGCAGCUUGCACUCCUGAGUGUUUGGGGAGAUUUGGCUGGAGUUGUGUGGUGGCCAAAGGAACUGUGACAGCAGUUGAUGGCAAAGCUGGGGCUGCUUGAGUGAUGGUUGUAACUGAGGAAACCCCUGAGGGAAGUGAAGAAUUUACGGAGUGUAGCAGUUCCUGGGCAGUGGGGAAAGAAGAUGCAGGAGGGGUAGAGAACAGGAAGACAAAGGCAAGACUUUGUAAAUUCUAUUCCUGGUUGCAUCAGGGAAUUGUUUGCCAACUUUGGAGAAAUCCCAAUCCCUUAUUUAAAUCCAGGUAAGGUGGAAGCAGUGAACUGUGUUCUCCCUGGGGAGCUCAAGUGUAAUUCCCGGAAGUGUGCCAUGUAAGCUAAAGAAAAGGAAACAAACUUGUUCUUGCAGUUUGUUUAUAUUAGAGCUCCUAGUCAUCCAGGUGCAAACCAAGACUGCGCAGUACCAGGUGCUGUGAAUAUGACUGCAGGAAAGGUCUGUUGCAAGAGCGCUGUGACCUGAGUGUGACGGCAGCAAUGAAGGAGACUCCUGGAACCCGCAGAACUACAGAAGCAGCAAGGGUAUCAGCAUGGUAAGGGUUGCAUGAGUGUAUAAGCAGCCUAAAACCAUUUCCAGAAUAUUUUAUCAGAACUUCUGUGGGAUAAAAUCCAAAAAUUGAAAAGUGGAGUGACAUACUUGUGCAAUUCCACAUAGUUUAUGAUUAAGAUGCAUUUUUAAGUUGUUCUGUGACAUUUGUUGUUACAGCGGUUGCUCAUUUCUUGUCGGGAUGGGAAUAUCCCCGAGGGUUCCAUUGUGCAUUCCUGAAAAAGCAGCCAUGCUUUUACUAGGCCAUUUGGGGGUAACUCCUGUUUUUAAGCGUGGAAUGGAUCUUAUUUGUCUGUGAGUUUUCUUUUUUGUCGUGCAAAUCGUGUGUGGCUGCAUUGGAGACAAUACUGUGGCUGAGGAAAAAGGGAGGGAACCAGACUGGGUUUAAUUUGUUGGCUUAAUGAUGUGUACGAGAAAUUACAAAUGCAUUGCUGUGAUAUGCAGAGGUCACAGGAAAUAAGUACAAGCAAGUGUACAAAGAUACUCUGCAGCGAGACAGUUUGAGUCUAGACAGUUAGAGCUUUCAAAAAGCUUGCAAUAUUUAAUUCCUGUGAUCAUCACGUAUCUGGAAUUGUGACUGCCUUUGCUGAAAUUUCAGCUGAUGAGAUAAAGCUUUAGAGAAGGGUUUUUGGAGGGGAGGGUGAAAGCCAGACCAGCCCCAAAGCCCUGAGGAGGUCUGUCCACGUAAAUGGGUGCCAGGCAGCCGCUUUACAAGUGGAGGUCAAAGGGAAAACAAAUCCAUACCAAUCCCAGCAUGGCUCUAGGCACUGCUUCUGUCCCCACUGCUGUUUGACAAACUCUGCAGUUGUCUUUGUGAUUUUAAUAACUAAGUCACGGAGAUUAGAGGCUGUGCAUGGCUUUCUGAAGAGUGAAAUUAAGUAAGUGAAGACAGCCUGAGAGCAAGUAGAGAGAGAACAGGCUGAGAGAAAGUAGCACCAGGUAAUCCUUUAUGGUUGUGUUGCGCUUGAUUUCAAAUCUGUAAUUUUGUUGCCCACAUUGGAGUCCUGCCAUUGGAGCUUAAACUUCUGGAUUGCUGCCUAUGCAGGCCCUUGAGAACUUGGAUUGUGCUGUACAUUGUGUCAUGAUUAUCAUGUCUUUGCAAGAUAUUUUCUGCCACACCUUCCUAUAUAAUUUUUCCUGGCUUUCUGGCUGCCUACCUUGCAAUAAUAUUUAAAACAAACAAACAAACAGCAGUCCCUUAAAUUUCUGUUUGCAUGUGGGGGGAAAAAGGCACUUAAGAAGCAUAGUCUUUUGUGUUGUGCUGUACUUCCUACACCUUUUUCCCUUUGCAAGGGUCGCAAAGUUUUUCGAUACUGUAUUUUUAUUGAGAUACAGAGCUUUACGUGAACUGAGAUACACAGCUGCAUUAAUCAUUGGCAUCCUGUAUAGUCCAUGUGGAUUUUACAAGAAAUUCUAAGCCAUGCUAUCAAAGGCGGAGGCCACAGAAACAUUUUUGAUGUCAAGUAUAUUUAGGAUUACCUAUAGUGAUGUUUUCUUGUAAGGUCAUAGUGUUCCAGUAGUUUGGAGGUUGAGAACUAGGAGUGAGCAGUUUUUCUGAUGCAUCUCCCAGGUCCUGCCAGGAGUGGAUGCCCUCAAACUGUAUGCGUUACCACUUCUUUUCUUUUUCUGGCUUAGAUUUGUCCACUGGUUUCAUAAGCCCUCAGGAACGGCCUUUCUCACCUCAUCUCUUUGCCCAGACUACUGCCAUACACAACUACAGCUUAUAGAAAUAGCAAACUUCUUUGGACAGAUACAUUUGCCUGAUAGUGCAGCACAAGCAUUGAGAAAGAGGUAAAUUACCUUUCCCUCCCUGCUCCCUGCCUACGGAACGGGUGAGUGCGAAGCCUGACUCAGAGCCAUCAGGCUGAAGGCAGGCCCUCUCUGUAAUGAUCACUCCAGGCUGCCACAAGCAGUGAAACAGUCUUUCAUCGCUUCCCUUGAUGUUCUUGCUGAGGUUUGGACCAAGCAAGGAUGAAGGCUUGGAGGAGGAACAAAGUGCAGAAAGAAUAACAGGGGCACGCUGAGGUCAGGAAGUGGAAUUGGGGCAGUGAGUCCAGUGGGACCUUCUGCUGGCCCCAUCGUGUGAGCGCCUUCCCUGGUCUUUAAUCCUGUGAUUGCCCUUCCUUCCUCCCCCCAGCCCCUGCUCAGCUUGUACAGAGGACCUGCUUCAGGAAUGAGUGGGACGUGUGAAGAAGUGCAGGAAGACAAAGGAGAAUCUCUUUAGGCAGCUGAGUGCUCUUCUGGAAAAGUGGCUUUUAUCCUAGCGGUGCAG